AGGUUCAAAGUUCAUUAGAUGGCUAUAAAUACUCUCCCCUCUGACCCAUAUUAAAACCAAAAUCGAAGAACACCGAAUCAAAGAGAUCAAGAUGUCUGAAUGUCCUCCCGGAAAAGAUCAAUGGCCCGAGCUUGUUUUCGUAGAGUAUUCCAUUGUUGCUAGGAUCAUUGAGAAGGAGAAUCCUAACGUGAAAGCACACAAGAUUCUAGCUGGGAGCCCGAGAAUUUUGAACUUUGAUUGUUCACGAGUUUGGGUUGAUGUCAAUAUCAAUGAUGUUGUUGUUAAAGUGCCUGGGAUUGGUUAAGGAUUGUGAAUUGAUAUCUAUGUAAUGUAUACAUAUAGUGCAUUUUAAAUUAAUAAUAAGGUAGUAUCUUCCUACCACUUUAAUUUC